GUACUUUGGUUCCUGCCCGCUGGAGGUCGGUCCUGGUUCUAAAGCGACCCUGUGACCUGUCUCCCUGUGCGCGUGCACUCCGCGGUACAGUCUCGUCUGCGUAUAGUCGUGGGAAGGAAAGAGGGGCUCCAGCGUCUCCCUGAGAGGCUGAGGGAGCGAGGAACCGCCGAGCCCUCCUUCCCCUGCUCGGCGGGCCCUGGCUGCAGCUAGCAGGUGCCCCGCUCGCUGGUCGCGGGGGGAGGAAGUUGCGGGGGGCACCCGAGGCGGUGUCGCGACUCAGCCACCCAGGGUCAGCGGUCAGGCCAUCUAAAGGCUACCCAGCCCUCUAACACUGUGCCCUUUCCGUCCCUGCCAGCUCUCCACCAUGCCCGGGGGCGUACCCUGGUCCGCCUACUUGAAAAUGCUUUCCUCCAGCCUCCUGGCCAUGUGAGCCGGGGCCCAGGUGGUGCAUUGGUACUAUCGGCCUGACCUGGUGAGUGCUGUAGGGCGCGUGCCCAUCCUCGGGGUGAGACCCUCGCGUUCAGUCCACUUUGCUCAGUCCCUCUUGACUUUUAGAUUGUCCCCAGUGUUUGGAUAACUUGUGCUCUCUCGCUCUUAACACUCAAGACUGUGUCUAAUAGUUGUGAGUCAGCCUGGUCUACAGAGCAAGUUCCAGGGAUACACAGAGAAACCAUGUCACGGGAGUGAGGGGGAAACACACACACACACACACACACACACACACACACACAGCGUCAA
rnacentral:lncRNA from 1 species